GGAGGACUGAGCGCUUAAUCUGUGGGAUCUGACGCUAUCUCCAGGUGGAUGUUGUCAGAAUUGAAUUAUAGGACACUCACCUGGUGUGAUGGAGAACUGCUUGCUGUGGGGAAAAAGCCACACGCAUUUGGUGACCAGAAGUGAAGGGUUCUAUGUGAGAAGUAAAGAAAACACACAGGUGGAAAACUGAGUUUUUCUAAAAUACUAAGUAAUUCACAAAUUUAAAAGAAAUACCAAAAAGGAAGAUCAGCCCUGAGCCAGUCCUCCUCUUUUUGCUGAGGAAGACUGGCCCUGAGCUAACAUCCAUGCCCAUCUUCCUCUACUUUAUAUGUGAGAUGCCUACCACAGCAUGGCUUGCCAAGCGGUGCCAUGUCUGCACCCAAGAUCCGAACCGGCAAACCCUGGGCCACCGAGAAGGGGAACAUUCGAGCUUAACCACUGUGCCACCGGGCCGGCCCCCACUUAUUUUUUAAGCACGUUUAUUUAAAUUCUGAAUUUGUUUCACAGGGAACACGUCUUACUUUUGUAACCAGAAAAAAAAUAACAAAGGCUGUUGUUUGUGUCUUUCUUUUUUUUCCUGGAACAAUGGCCAUUCAAGAAUCCCAAAAGGAACUUCCAGGGGUUACUAAUGAAGCCGAGCAGAGAAGGAGAGAGCAUCCUUCCUCACUGGCUGCCUGGGAAGGGGGAUUGACUGCAAACGGGCACUGGGAUCUUUGCGGGGGGUGGUAAGAAAUGGUCUACAAUCCAAUUGUGGUUAUGGUUGCACAACUCUGUAAAUUUGCUAAAACUCAUUGCAUUAUAUACU
rnacentral:lncRNA from 1 species